CAAGUAUACUUACUUGAAACAUGAUGGAAAAACAUUUGGCCAUCAAUAGAAUGCACGUCACCAUCAGCGCGCACGAGGAGGAAAUGUUCGUUUAAGGACCAUGGCAGCGCGGUAGCAGCUACCGCAACCAACCAGGUUGCAUCGAUGACGUCACAACCAGAAACGAAAACGGUCGUGUUUGUUUCUGGUCGCUCGUGGUAGGGAAACGAAAACGCACCUCAUGUGAUCGCACCAUGAAAGCUGGAAUCCUGCUGCGUCAUACCGUUAAGUGAAAAUCCAGCCUGAUCUCUCUGUUCGAUUUUGCAUUAUUGUGGUGUUCUAUUACAAAACAGAGUUCUACACUACAAAUCUGGACUCAUAAAUUUUUAGAAUAAUUAUUUUAUGAAAAAUGUGAUAUAUAAAAAUACCUAACAUCAUCUAAUAUCAAAAGAGAAGAAAUAUCAAAUAGUCACACUAUAUAUGUACACUAUAUAUGCAAUCCGAAGGAAUUGUCACUUAUCAAACUAACUGGCAUUUAAUUAAACAAGUUUGUGGGACUUGAUGCACUAAUAAGAUGCGAUGAUGUGAAGGUAAAGUGCGCACACACUUUUAUUCUGGAAAAAGUGCAUCGUAAUAUUUGUACGAUACAAAAUGUGUGCUUAAAUGUUUGUAUGGUUUGCUGUAACCAUAGUUGUAAUUUAUUUUAAUCAAAUCGAGCUAUUGUAUCAACAUGUAAUGACAUUUCUAUAAGGUUUAUACAGUAUUAUAGUGGGCUGAUAUAUACAUAAGAAAAAAAUGAGCAUAUUUUACAUAAUAAUGUAUUACAUUUACAUUUGCAUACUGGCUAGAAAAAUUGACUUUAGGAAGAUAAUACAAACAGGUAAGCAAACAAUUGUCAAAUUAAUUCAAAUUUGACAU